GACGAACGCUGGCGGCGUGCCUAACACAUGCAAGUCGAACGGAAAGGCCCUGCUUUUGUGGGGUUCUCGAGUGGCGAACGGGUGAGUAACACGCGUGUAACCCGCACCUGACUUUGGGGUAACUUCAGGAAACAGGGGCGAAUACCGGAUAUGAGAUCCUGCAGCACGGGGGGGGUCGGUAAGAUUCGGCGGUUGGGGCUGGACUCGCUGCUUAUCAGCUUGUUGGUGGGGUAGUGGCUUACCAAGGCUUUGAAGGCUAGCCGGCCUGAGAGGGUGGACGGCCACAUUGGGACUGAGAUACGGCGCAGAAGCCUACGGGAGGCAGUAGUGGGGAGUAUUGCGCAAUGGGGGGAAGCCUGAUGCAGAAGCGCCGCGAGCGGGAUGCCGGCUUUCGGGUUGUAAACAGAUUUCGCAGGAGAUGAAGAGUGAGUGACGGUAAUGGGUAAAGAAGCACCGGCUAACUACGUG
rnacentral:rRNA from 1 species